UAGACCAACUACACUCACAGACACUGCAGAAACAUUUGCUUUUGUAUUUGCUGACUGCUUUGCAUGGGACCCCUACAGUCCAGCCCAGCGGCUGAGAAUUUAUAAGCCAGGCCUUUGCAAUGAGAGCUGAAAUUCAUCAGACAGCAGGAGAAGCAAGAUGAAGUCACAGACCCAGGUCCUCAUAUCCCUGCUGCUUUGGGUGUCUGGUGCCUGUGCAGACAUUGUGAUGACACAGUCUCCAUCCUCCCUGGCUGUGUCAGCAGGAGAGAAAGCCACCAUCCGCUGCAGAUCCAGUCAGAGUCUUUUACACAGUGUAAUCAGAGAGAACUUAUUGUCCUGGUACCAGCAGAAACCAGGGCAAUCCCCUAAGCUGCUGAUCUACUGGGCAUCCAAUCGAUACACUGGGGUCCCUGAUCGCUUCACAGGCAGUGGAUCUGGGACAGAUUUCACUCUCAGCAUCAGCAGUGUGCAGGCUGAAGACCUGGCCAUUUAUUACUGUCAGCAGGGUAUUAGUACUCCUCCCACAGUGCUUCAGCCUCAAACACAAACCUCCUUGAGAGUCUCACCAGCUGCCUGCAACACACACCGCCUUGGGCCUGCACACUUCCCUCUUCUGCCUGAUAGCAGGUGUGCCUGA